AGGCUCAUUCCAUAUGACAAUGGGUACAGUUGAUCAUAGUGUUCAGAAAUGCUAAUAUGGCUAAAUUGAGACACAGGUUAUACUUCCAUUACAGUAAAUUUAUUGCAGGGGUGACAAUGAGACCUGUAACUUUU
rnacentral:snoRNA from 1 species